GUGGCUUUGGCAGCACCUAUACCAAAAUUGGAAUGAUACAGAGAAAAUUGGCCCUGCCCCUGCAUAAGGAUGACACAGAAUUUUGUGAAGCAUUCCAUAUUUUU